GCUAAGAGAUUUGAUGAAUUCAAUGAAUGUUGAUUGAAUCAAGAAUAGUUGCACGUCCGUAGAAGGGGAACCUAGAAGUGGGUUCUGCAGCCUGCUCAGGGGAUGAACGGGUGAGUGAGAAGGAAGCCGAGAGGAUGGUCCAAGUAAGGAAACAGCAACAGCAAAGGCUUUCUAAACACAGGCCAAACCAGAAGGAGUCAAGUAAGCCGUUAGAGUAUUGCUACAGAGAAUAAGGCCGGAAAUGGAGUAUCACAAAAAACAUUUAAAGUGAUGCAGAUUUGAUAUGCCAGAAAGAUGAGCCUUGAACAAUUGUGAGCAGAGGAGGAACAUCCUGGAAACGGUAUUUCAGGAAGGAAAAUCCAGCAGCAGUUCCCGGCAUCCCUAGGCGAAGUAUUUUCACCUUCAUAAACAGCAUUUCUAGAAACCUGCUGACUCCACCUUGGAAAAAAAAAGUGUUCAGAAUCCUAAAUUGUACCUUCUUGUCGACAUUUUCUCUAACGGAAAUAGAAUGGUUGUGAAUUACAAGAGAAAAAAAUCCCCUGUGACUAAAAGUGAAAAUGUUGGCUUCUAUAUGAUGUGGAAAACCUACUGGUACAGGUAUUAAAAGUACUCACAG
rnacentral:lncRNA from 1 species